GCUACGAUCAGGCAAGUUGUGAUCAGUUAAAUGCAGUGCAUCGUUUACUGUUUACUUGUGGCUCCUCCUGUUUACUUGUGCACCGCUAAAGAUAGCUAAAUUUACCGCUUAUACUAUUGUCUAGCCAAUCGCAAUUUUCAGAACUGCUUUGUGAAAACAUGAAUUAAAAACAUGAGUAAAUUAUAUAAUAUAGUAUUAAUGAACUAAUAAAUUCGCCUUUGAAUUAACGCUUUUAAAGUUAACGUUUGGGACUUGGGAAUAACAACGUCCAAAACACGUUCUGUAAUUAUUUUGGUUAUAAUUUCCGUCACAUACCCCGAUCGUAUUGGGACUUAGCUAACAACCUCGGUCCUCGGAAGGCUGCAUGCAUGUGUUGUGCUGCAUUAACUGUUGUGUUGCAAAGUAUUGCACCUGAGCCGAUGCCAAUUUGAGAUCAACUCUUUCAGAGUCUUUGUUGUUGUUUAGACGACGACUAACUGCCAGAGAGGUGGAAAAACUGUGAUAUGUUCUGAAGAGCACGAUGUAUGUGAAUGUCCACCGUGGGCUGAAGGAAACAAUUGCGAGAACCUAAAUAUGGCCUACAAUCUUGACCUACUUCCCUGGAAGAAAGGUGAUGGAUAUAACUUAAAAACUGUUGAUAUUUCCUUUACCGAGACGUGGUGUACUAACAGCUUUGAUCAAAUUUACCAUCUUCAAAAUGGUAAAUGGGAACAAGUAUUUGGAUUACUCCAAAAAGUAUCUGUCGGAGAAAAUGGAUUUUGGGGGACAAAUUCAAUCCAGCAUAUUGUCGCAAGACUCGGGAUAACGGCGUCAGAACCCAAAGGAACACAAUGGUACCAUGACACAAGCGGUCUACUUAGUCAAGUUACUUCUGGCCGUCCAGGUAUACUUUGGGGAGUCAAUGUGUAUAAUCAACUCUAUUAUAAGCAAAAAAGUGGUACUUGGUCACUUAUCGGUGUAUAUUAUAUAUGGGUGUCAUGUGGAAAAUUUGGCUGUUGGGCAAUCGUAAGAGGCAACGGACAUGCAUAUUUCAGAACUGGCGUGACCGCAGAUGUUCCUGGAGGGGUUUCGUGGGUGGACACUGGUGGGACAUUUACACAACUGGACACCGGAGUGCGAGGGGAUGUGUACGCUGUGGACGGUGGCGGACAACUGUAUACACGUGAAGGUAUAAGUGAAGACCUUCCCUAUGGACGAAAAUGGUCAAAAUUUGGAAACUUUUUGCUCAGUCAUGUUAGCGUUGGUGCUAAAAGUGUAAUCGGAAUACACAACAAGUUAUUCUACACGAUGGACACGCCAUAGAGAGAAUCUCUGUGAAGAUAAAUUUUUGCACAAAAAAGAAGAUACUUUCGAAAACAAUGUAAUCAAAGAUAUUCACUUUGAUGAACACACGAUAGUAUUGGAACCGAAUGUGAGCAAUUAGUAUUUAACGAACAAAAUCUAUUAUCUCACAAUUUGCACUGUAGCAAUGCCCAUUCUGAAAAAUGGAAGACUUUAGAGAAAGUGUUGAAAAGAGUCAGUAAUCGUUUCCUCAACAGGAACAUUAACGUUCCUCCU
rnacentral:misc_RNA from 1 species